GGGGAUGUAGCUCAAUUGGAUAGAGCGCAACGCUACGAACGUUGGACGGCAUAGUGGAGGUUCGAGUCCUCCCAUCCCUGCCA
rnacentral:tRNA from 1 species